GGCGGACGGGUGAGUAACACGUGGGCAACCUGCCUGUAAGACUGGGAUAACUCCGGGAAACCGGGGCUAAUACCGGAUCAUUUUUGCCACCGCAUGGUGGCGGAAUAAAAGAUGGUUUCGGCCAUCACUUACAGAGGGGCCCGCGGCGCAUUAGCUAGUUGGUAAGGUAAUGGCUUACCAAGGCACCGAUGCGUAGCCGACCUGAGAGGGUGAUCGGCCACACUGGGACUGAGACACGGCCCAGACUCCUACGGGAGGCAGCAGUAGGGAAUCUUCCGCAAUGGACGAAAGUCUGACGGAGCAACGCCGCGUGAGUGAGGAAGGUUUUCGGAUCGUAAAGCUCUGUUGUUGGUGAAGAACCCUCCUGUGAGGAAAUGCACAGGAGUUGACGGUAGCCAACCAGAAAGCCCCGGCUAACUACGUGCCAGCAGCCGCGGUAAUACGUAGGGGGCAAGCGUUGUCCGGAAUGAUUGGGCGUAAAGCGCGCGCAGGCGGCUUCUUAAGUCUGAUGUGAAAGCCCACGGCUCAACCGUGGAGGGCCAUUGGAAACUGGGGAGCUUGACUACAGGACAGGAGAGUGGAAUUCCACGUGUAGCGGUGAAAUGCGUAUAUAUGUGGAGGAACACCAUUGGCGAAUGUCG
rnacentral:rRNA from 1 species